rnacentral:misc_RNA from 1 species
GAGAGAGAGAGAGAGAGAUGGAUGGAAGUAGUGAUGAAAAAAGCCAAGUUCGGAUGGAUUUUUAUAUCUUGUCAGCUCAAAACACUUUUGGCUCCAUUUGGUUAGCUUACCAUUUUUUUUCUUUUGCCUUUUGCUUUGGUUGGAAAAAAAAAUGGAGCAAAAACGUUCAAAAUGAUUUCUUAUUUUAAUUGCAAUUUUCUUUUCUCAUGUGAAGUGAAAUUCAUAUACUUGUCAAGCAUAUUUUAUGAUUAUUGCGUUUGUUUUCUGGCAAAACACUAAAAAGUUGUAGGAAGUACUUAGGACACAAAAAACGUAAAGCUCAACCAAACAGAGCCUUCAAUAAAAAAAAAAAAAAAAACUUAUUCAAGAUUUUUAAAUAGGAACUUGACAAUGAAACAGGGGUCAGAGGAAGAGGAACUUGAUGAAAGUAUUAAAGAGAAAAAAAACAAUACAUAGUUACAUACACAUAUAUGUGCAUGAAUAUGUGUAUAUUCAAACAGAUUCAGAUAUCUUUUGGCCUAAAAUGCUUAAACUAAAGAGGUAUUAGUUAUAGAUAUGAAGGGGAAGCUUAGGCAAUGCAGUAACUAAGCUUCAUUUCCAUAGGAUCGCACUAUGUGAUUAUUGUUUUUGGUUGAGAGAUGUAUUAGUCACUAAAAAAUGGUGGAGAUAUCGUAUUACUACCUGUUUACCUUAUGAUGCUUCAAAAAUUUUUUCCUAGAUGUUUAGCAUUUUGUUCCUUUCUUUUCCUUUCUGCAGGACAUGUACUACUGUUUCAUGGAC